UUAAAUAAUUCUGGUACGUGCAUUGACCAUUUAGUGUGGGUGGUUAGGGACGUUAGGAAUGUUGAUGGGGGAUGUUAGCAUUGUUGCGUUUUGGGGAACUAGUAUGUGUAAUUUUCGCGAACAAUAACCUUUAGUUAAAAAAUAACUAUAACUUUUUUAACAUUAGCGUGUAAGACCUUGCCUCGGAGCCAGCUGGUGUAUAUAGCUGUAGCAGUUAAAAGUUCGCUAGAAAUGUGGCCAAUGUGUUUGAAUUUUUCUGUUGGCAAUGUGAUGCAUUAGGCUAGUCAUGUCUGCCUUGCACAGCAGUUCGUUUGGAUGUAAUAGGUGUGAUAAUUUACGUUUGCAUGGGUAUAUAGUGCCUACCGCAAACAGCAAGAACAUUUCUGUGAACUAUUUGUUAGGACUUCGAGAUGUUAACACUAAAAUAACCUGGCAGUGAAAUUAUAGGCUUUGUGUAAAACUUAGCGACAUUAGCAUCUUGUAGUGUGUAGGAGCCAGCUGAUGUAUAUCAAUCGCUAAAGAUAUGGCCAACGAAUUUUUGUGUGAACAGUUAGGCUAGCCUAUUUUAAUCUAGGCUUACUUAUACAGUAGAUAGUUCUUUUGGAUGUCUAUGGAGAGGAAUUUGUGUCGAAGUAUAUAAUGUCUUUAUGAAAAAUAGUUCUCUCAUCCAAAAAACAUUCCUUUGUGAAAAUGCUUGUGUUGGGGUGGAGGUGUUAAUAGUCUGCCUGCAAAUAUGAUUCAAGGCAAUUAGCCCUCCUGUUGACACCUUCGACACAACAAUGAUGGGGUCAUACAUGUUAAAUGGGCACUUUUUUUGUUCAUGAAGGACGUGUUUAGCAGCUAAGAGACUCACCUGCAUUUACCAAAACAUGCUGCUUACUGUUCAUAUCACUUGUAUCUUAUACCAUACUGUAUAUAUUCUAUUUAUACACUUUUAUAUUACCACUUUGCACAUACUCUGCACUCUUCUGAUUUUGCACUUCUGGUUAGAUGCUAACUGCAUUUCGUUGCCUCAGUACAAUUUAUAUGUAUAAAUACAUAUAUAUAAACAAACCUAAUAACCAAUGCCAUAAUCAUUUUGAAUCUAUAGUUAUGUUUUCCCCCUUUUUUUACAGGGACACCAGCCUUCAGCAGAUUAGAGAAGGUGUUGACCAACAAGAGGGUUCUGAAAGAUGUGGGGAAGCUGAGCCCUCACUACCAGACCUCGUCGUUGGAGUCUUUCCACAGCGUCAUUCUGCGUUUUGCGCCCAAAAACGUAGUCUUUCCUUUUCUUGGAAUGUUAUGCAGACUCUACCUGGCAGUCCUGCAUUUCAAUGAAAAUGCUGGGCGUCCCCAAGCAACAAGUUCAGCUGGUGAGCCGCUAUUUAAAGUGAACUUCCCAAAAUACAAGAAGGGCGAGUGCACUGCAAAGCCGGUGAAAGCAGAGCCAACCUUCCGUGAGUCACAGGCUUUAUUUGAAAUUCCACCAAGUCAAACAAUGUACAAACAGUAUGUGAAACUUAAAUAACAUAUACAUUAACUGCUGUCUUUAAAUGGUCUUCAUAAUAAAUAGAAUAAUAUAAUUGCAAAA